GCAUGGCUCCCUCGUUAGUGAGCUGCAGAGGAUCUGGCCUUCCUGGCUGCACAGGAAGCAAACUGGAUAUCUGUUAGUGUUGUAAUUAUCUCAACACAAGAGUUUCCACAUAAAUCAGCUGUGUGGCAUGGGGGUGUGUGUGGGGUUUCCACCAGCCCUUCAUUGCGAGGUGCUUGCCCUGUGCUGGCCGUGCUCUUUGUGGGGUCUGUGUGAGGAGCAUUGGGCAGCUGGGCUCUGACCCUCCUCCCAGAGCUGCGGUGGAUCCUCUGGCUUAAGCGUAUUUCAUGACCUGCAUUGCUCUGCUUCACCUUUUCAAAAGCAAAGCAACAAACAAUACAUGUAUAAGUAAAAAGCUGCAUGUGAUGCUUAGGAAUAUAUAAUGCAUUAUCGGUGCCAUAGGCGGCGGAGUUUAUUAGCCCCUGUCAGGCUAUUCACAAUAUAAAGGACAUACUGACCUAGAAUGAUCUCUUCCUUCCAAUCAGCAUUUACACUGUAACAGGAGGAGAGCCAGCAUUUGUGCAUUUGUAAGGUUAACCCUUUGGGCUACCCUUGCAGAUAUUUACCCUAGGAUUUUAUUUACAAUCCCAACCCUGGCAGGCUGUAUUUAUCUCUAAUCAACACUUUUAUUAAUCAGGGAAGGUGUGAGCUGAAGGCCACCGCUUCUGAAAACAAACAUAUUUUAAAUUCCUUAGAGCUUGCAUGUACGUAUGUAUUUGUGUGUGUGUGUGUAUUUCUCUGUCUCCCUAGCUAUUUAUCAUGUCCGGUUGGACACAUUGUGCGAGCCCAGCUGCUCUUAUCUGGCAUGGGGUAGCAUAUUAAAAGGAAGAUUAAGAUUACCAUUUUGCUUUAUUUUGUUUCUCAAAGCUUGAUAUGCAUAACCAGAACUUGUGUGUGUGUGUGCAGAAUAACCGUUGUAGGCAGCUUUUGCUCGCAGUGUCUCCAGGCAGUAGGUAAGGCACAUCUGGAGCUUGCAGCAUCGUGGAGAUGGCUGCUCAAAUCCCAGGAGCACGGGUCGCGCUGGGAAUGGGGGCCCGGUAUCCAUGGUGAGGUUCCCUAUCUCACAGUGCCAGGUGUGUGCACGUGCGCUAUUUCUUGGAAAGGCCGUCCUUGGGGGAAGGGGGAAACCAAGAGAGAGGUAAUUAGGAGCUACCUUGCACAACUGAGCCAGCUCAUCAGGGAUGGGGACAGGAAGGACGGUGCUGGGAGCAGGAGUCCCUGUGAGAAGGGACUGGGGAACAUGGCCUGUGGCAAGAUCUGCAUCCCAAAUGAAGCUGCAUCUCACACCAGAUAAAAGAGAAAAAAACACACGUGUUAAAUGUAACUGGAAGCAAAUCAUUUGCCUAAGUGCAAAGCUCUCGCCUGGUCUUACAGGCACUUAGUCUAUGCAGAUCCUUCAGCCUUCAAUAUUAAAGCUCCCAAGGCAUCUAGCACUGUUUUGGAGUAUGCCUAACCAGUGCUCCUGCCUCGACCAAGCUGUGCAAGGGCGUACUUAUCUGACAUUUAAGCUGGAUUAGAAACCAUGAACUAUGUGUUCAUCUUAUCUUCUUAUCUUCUUUGAAGGCUCAGCCUCACAAGUACACUUCCAAAUUGCCUGCUGCUCUGCCAGAUCCAACCCCACAAGAAUGGCUGUGGUGACAAUCACCUUCUUAUAAGGUCCUGCCCAAGAAACCAGCCCCUUGCUCUACUGUUUCAUUCAAGUGGGG
ensembl:lncRNA